rnacentral:lncRNA from 1 species
AUCGAGCGGCCGAGAUAUCGCUUUUACCUUCUUAGAUAAAAGUUACAGAUAAACUUCGACUUAUAUGCAUUUACUUAUUCAUUAACCAACUAUACACAACAAUACGUUUUAUAACACCAAGUUACUGAUGCGUUUUCGUAUUAUCAAUGUACAAUCAAUUAACAAAUAAUAAACCAUAUAUCUAGGUUUUAAGACUAUAUGAUAUUAUCGUCUUGCGAUCACCUUUUAUAUCGUAUUCCAUAAGGUGAUUCCAGCAAGCGCGGGUUUAUUCCAAUGCUCAAAACUAGUUCAUAAGCACUCAUGAACGUUGCAGCAAUCCUUUGCUAUGUCUAACACCAUUUAGACAUUCUACACACCAAUUCAUGACAAUCUUCUUUCAUAUCUACUCCCAACAUAUGAACGAUUGUGGACCAUUUGAAUAAUUCGAUUAUUCCUAAUAAACUCAAUUAUUCUGGAAGUCAAAACAUGCAAAGUGAAACAAUAGCUAAACAAUUAACAUAAGAUAGUAACAUUACUCAUAAAUAAAACUCCUUUAUUUAAUCAUCAAAUGUCAAUUACAUUUAUCUAUUACACGUUUCUAAUACUAUCUAAUCUAUGCUAAUAUCAUCCUUCAGCCCAAUACUCCUAGCAUGCUGCAAGUGCUUAACCCUACUCAGUCCCUUCGUAAGCGGAUCUGCUGGGUUAUCUUCUGAUGAUAUCCUCUUCACUACGAGUUGUCCUUCUUCUACACGAUGUCUAAUGAAGUGAUACUUUCUGUCGAUAUGUCUUGAUCUACCAUGAUCCCUCGGUUCCUUGGUUAAGGCAACCGCACCUUCGUUAUCACAGAAAAUCUCCAUUGGCUCCUUUAUGGCAGGUACGACUCCAAGAUCACCGAUGAAGUUCUUUAGCCAUAUUGCCUCCUUCGACGCUUCGCUCGCUGCAAUGUACUCUGAUUCGCACGUUGAAUCAGCUACGGUUUCCUGCUUGGAACUCUUCCAUGUCACUGCUCCUCCAUUUAGGGUAAAGACCCAGCCCGACUGCGAACGGUAGUUGUCCCUGUCGGUCUGAAAACUGGCGUCACUAUACCCUCGCACCUUCAAGUCAUCACUCCCUCCGAGGACUAAGAACCAUUCCUUCGUCCUCCGAAGGUACUUAAGGAUAUUCUUCACCGCAAUCCAAUGUGCUUUGCCAGGAUUCCCUUGAUAUCUGCUAACCAUGCUCAAAGCGAAGGCUACAUCAGGGCGAGUACAAGUCAUAGCGUACAUGAUUGAGCCAACUGCGGAAGCGUAUGGUACUCGGCUCAUUUCUGCUAUCUCAGCUUCGGUACUCGGACUUUGAGUCUUACUCAAUUUGGCAUUACUUUGUAUCGGUAGUUCUCCCUUCUUUGAGUUUUCCAUACUAAAACGUUUUAGUACCUUCUCUAAGUAAGUAUUCUGACUAAGUCCAAUUAGUCUCUUACUUCUUUCUCUUACUAUCCUUAUUCCCAAAAUGUAAGAAGCCUCUCCGAGGUCCUUCAUAGCGAAGCACUUCCCGAGCCAGGACUUAACCUCCUGCAGAGUCGGGAUGUCGUUUCCUAUGAGUAAUAUGUCAUCGACAUAUAGAACGAGGAAGCUUACUAUACUCCCACUGGCUUUGACAUAUACACAAGAUUCGUCUUCGCUUCGUACAAAUCCAAACUCUUUGACUUUCUCAUCGAAGCAAAGAUUCCAUCUGCGAGACGCUUGCUUAAGUCCAUAAAUGGACUUCUCAAGCUUACACACUCUAUUCGGAUGCUUCGGAUCCACAAACCCCUCUGGCUGAGCCAUGUAAACAUCCUCAGCCAACUUUCCGUUAAGGAAAGCGGUCUUGACAUCCAUUUGCCAAAUCUCAUAAUCAUGAAAUGCGGCAAUUGCUAGCAUCACUCUAAUAGAUUUAAUCUUCGCAACUGGUGAGAAGGUCUCAUCAUAGUCAACUCCGGGAGUUUGAGUAAAGCCCUUCGCAACCAAUCGCGCUUUAUAUGUGUGUACGUUUCCAUCCACGUCGGUCUUCUUCUUGAAGAUCCAUUUGCACCCAACGGUCUUACGUCCGGGCACAUAAUCAACCAAAUUCCAAACUUGGUUAUCAUACAUGGAUUGGAUCUCGCUAUCCAUUGCCUCUUUCCAUUUUGCAGACUCCGGGCCUGCCAUGGCUUCCUUAUAGCUAUUAGGUUCAUCAAGAUUUAUUAGUGUACCAUCACUAAUAUACGUGUCCCCUUCGGUAGUAAUAUGAAAACCAUAAAACUGGGGUUGAACUCUAACUCUAUCGGAACGUCUAAGAGGUAAGGAUUCGUCAAUCGGUUCAACCGGAGUUUCCUCCUCGGGUUGAGUGCCAGCGGUAGAGGUUCCUUCAUCUAUCGACUCUUGAAUCUCUUCAAGCUCGAUUUGCCUCCCACUGUCUCCUUGGCUUAUGAGUUCUCGCUCUCGGAAAACUCCUCUCCUCGCAACGAAGACAACAUUGUCCUUCGGUCUAUAGAAGAGAUAUCCAAAGGAUGUCUGCGGGUAGCCGAUGAAAAUACAUCGCUCACUUCGAGGUUCAAGCUUGUCGUGAGUAUCUCGUCUUACGAAAGCCUCGCAACCCCAAACCUUGAUAUGUGCCAACGAGGGAGCUUUCCCUGUCCACAUCUCGUGAGGUGUUUUGGCAACCUUCUUAGUAGGGACUCGGUUAAGGAUAUGGGCGGCAGUCUCUAAGGCAUACCCCCAAAAAGAGAUUGGUAGUGAAGCACGACUCAUCAUAGAGCGAACCAUAUCCAAUAAGGUUCGAUUACGCCUUUCUGCCACACCAUUCAACUGCGGUGUCCUAGGAGGCGUCAAUUGCGAAACUAUUCCACACUCCUUGAGAUAAUCGUGGAAUUCAAGACUUAGGUACUCUCCUCCUCGAUCGGAUCGAAGCAUCUUGAUUUUCCUGCCCAAUUGAUUCUCCACUUCAUUCUUGAACUCUUUGAACUUUUCAAAGGUUUCUGACUUUUGCUUGAUUAAGUAGAUAUACCCAUAUCUACUAUAGUCAUCGGUAAAAGUCACAUAGAAGCGGUUCCCAUCCUUCGUGGUUGAUCUAAACGGUCCACAUACAUCGGUAUGUAUUAGGUCCAAUAGACCCUCGCCCCUUUCACAUGUACUCGUGAAGGGUGACUUAGUCAUCUUUCCAAGCAAACAAGACUCGCAUGUGUCAUCUUCCCUAAGGUCGAAUGACUCCAACACUCCAUCCUUUUGGAGUUGGGCUAUGCGUUUCUUGUUGACAUGUCCAAGACGACAAUGCCACAAGGAUGCUUUAUCCAUACUAGUGGAAGAAUCAAUAUUCAAAACAUCAUUUCCUAAGUUAUCAACAAUCAUAACGGUUUCAUAUAUUCCAUUACAUGGUAUAGCUUCAAAGUAAAAGACACCAUUUAGAUAAGCCAAAAUAGAACCAUUCUCAUUAUUAAAAGAAAAUCUAAAUCCUUGUCUAUAUAAACCAUGAAAUGAAAUGAUGUUUCUUGCCAUUUCUGGCGAAUAGCAACAAUUGUUCAAAUCUAAAACUAAACUAUUCCUAAGCACUAAGGAAUACACUCCAAUCUUGGUCACAGGCGACGAUCUUCUGUUCCCCAUGAUUAGAUUGAUCCUUCCUUGCUCCACAUCCCUACUUCUUCUUAGUCCCUGCACAUUAGAACAAAUGUGAUAACCACAACCGGUAUCAAGAACCCAAGAAAUAGCAUGAUUAGAAUCGUUAGAUUUGAUUGUAUAUAUACCUGCGAAAGAUGGCUUGAUCUUUCCUUCUUUGAUUGCUUGCAGGUAAUCCGGGCAGCUUCUCUUCCAAUGUCCUAUCUUGUGGCAGUGGUGGCACUCUGCCUCCUUCGGGUUAGAGCAGGGCUUGGCGGGAUCAACUUUGGUCCCACUAGAAGAGGCACCAUCUCGGGCUUUCACCUUGCGAUAGUUCUUCGAUGAAGCUUUCCUCUUCUUUCCCUUCCCUUGUCCAAUAGCCAAGACAGGAGCAGCGGGCGGAUUGGGAGUAGGUGCAACAGACUUGUCUUUGAAGUUGCUCUCAGCAACCCUCAAGAGACCUUGGAGCUUGCUUAGGGUGACCUCUUCUUUGUUCAUGUGGUAGGUCAUCCUAAAUUGGUUGUACAUCGGAGGCAAAGAGUGAAGCACCAUGUCGAUCGCCAAGUCUUCACCGAAGUCAACAUUUAACUUGCGGAGGCGGUCAACAUACCUUUGCAUCUUUUGCAAGUGCACGGUAAGAGAUUCUCCAUGACCCAUCUUCGCGGAAAUCAUGUUAGUGAAAAUCUCGUACCUCUCUUGUCUCGCGUUUUGGUGGUACCUCUCCAAUAAGUCUUGAUGCAUCUCGUACGGGUACAUGUCCUCGUAGGACUUUUGGAAUUCGGAGUUCAUGGUGGCGAUCAUGAUGCAAUGUACCUUCGUUGCAUCUCGCUCAUGAGUUUCAAAGGCGGUGAUUUCGGCGGGAGUAGCAAUUUCGGGGUUGAUUUUCUCGAGCUUCUCAUCGAGGACAUACUCCUUAUCCUCAUAGCGAGCAAUGGUGCGAAUGUAUCUUAUCCAUUCGCUAAAGUUCGUUCCAUCGAAGGUGACCUUUUGGCAAAGGCUCAUCAACGUGAAAGAACUAGCAGCAGCGUUGUUUGCGUUCGACAUCUACAAUUAGAAAAGGACAAAGAUAGAUUAGAAUAAGAAUCCCUAAUUAUCACCCAAUAAGAAAAUUAGGGCUAGGAUCCAACAAUAACAUUUACAUACUAGAAAAGGGAUGCCGUAAUCUAACAUGCAAAUAAAUUGAAGGUAAGUGAAUGACGAUUCACUAAUUCUCCAUCACAAAACUUAAACUAUUAGUCCUAAGUGUUUUUGAGAAUUCCUAGGUUCGGAUGAGAUUCAUUGAAACUAUUCAAUGGCAUGUUUAAAUCUCGAUAUGCCCCUCUUGUUUGUGACUGGGAUGCCGAGGAUCACAAAGCGGGUGUGAAUUACCAUGCAAAUUCACAUGGUGCCUUCAUUGUAACAAUCACCUAUUCGAUGUGCCGGUAAACCACACACGCUCCAUCGAACUAUGAUAAACAAUGAAUCACCCUUUGCCACCUUCGCUUAGAACCAAUUAGUGUGCCGGUAAACCACACACGCUCCACUAACAUCUUAGCAAGGUGCAAAGUGUAAUUUCAUGGGAUUGCAUCAAUUCACUUUUCCUAAAGUAACUAGGAUUGGGAAAUUUUAAAAAAAUGUGUAGUUACUUUAUAUUUCUUAUUAUACUUUUAAUGAGAGGAUGAGGUUGCCCUAUCCUACCCGUUCGGCUAACGACCCUCCACCAAUCAAGCAAGCGGUGGGUGUGAGUGUACACCCAUUAAGCGCCAUUUUAUAGGCCGCAACCUUAUACCCACCUUAUAGAUCGGCUUCGUGAAUGAGGCCUACUAACGGUAAGACUAGCAUUUAGUUAUACAUAUAUAUAUUAUUCUAGUAAUAUCAUAUUAGUAUAGGGUUGUAUUUUAAAACUUUUAAAAUCUAGGGUUUGAAAUUUAAGUUGUCUAAAUUAAAACUUUUAAUCACAAAAGUAAAUUUCAAAACAUGAGGGUAGGUUUUAAACAUUUAAAACAUGGAGGAUCAAAUAACAAAUAAUUCCAAUUAACAAUUAAUAUCCUAAUUAUCUAUAUUUGAUUUAUUCAAGAUUUCUUUUAAAGAUAAUUACCAAAAUAAUCAAAAUAAUUAAUUAAUUAUCAUAUAAGGAAAUUAAAUAUUUAAUUAGUUGAUAAUUACCUUUAACUAGAUCAAGAUAAUAGUUAUAUUUAUCAGAAAAACGAAUUAAUGUUGAUCUAAUUAGUUUAUGGUAAGUUAAGAUAAGAUAAACACAAAGAAAUCCCGAAUCUGGCCAUUCCUGACGCCUGGACUCGCCGAGUGCACAAAUGGACUCGCCGAGUCAGGCCUACUCGCCGAGUCCACUUUGAGACUCGCCGAGUCCAUGACUCAGAAACCAAAAAUUCGAAUUUUGCAGGUUUGUUUCAGUUAAUCAAGCAACAAUUUACAGAAAACCAAGCUAGGCUCUGAUACCACUGAUGGGUUUUAGCCAUAAGAACUUUCCUAUGUGCGCAUGCAAAACCCUAAUGCUUGGAUCUAGGCUUUCUAAUAAACAUGCUUUGAAUCCAAGACUUCUAAUUACUAAUUAGGUUAAACAAGAACAUUAAAACAGAUCUAGAAUCAUACCUUUGAGUUCCUUGUUGAUCUUGAGGUCUUGGAGCUUCUAGAGUCACAAAUGUCACUCCUCUAAUGGCUUACAAACACCAAUAGCAAGAAGAAUGAUUUAGGAGAGAGGAGAGGGAAGGAAUUCGGCCAGGGUUCUCUUACUUUAUGAGAUGUAUCGAAUUCCCUAUGCCAUGGGGUCUAUUUAUACUUGUAGACUCCUUAAGGGUUACAACCUAAACCCUAAUUGGAUAAUCUUCUCUUAAGGCUAUCCAAAUCCAUUCCAUAGAUAAGCCUUUGGACGAUUUUGGCUAUCCUAACACUCUUAGAAUUCGUCCAAAGCAUAUCCUAAUGGAUUUACAGUCUAAAGCUUAACUAUCAAAGAAUUGACAGUUUAUACCCCUUUAUUUAAUUAAUCUCUUUAAGUGACCAAAUUAAUUCUAAUUAAUUCUAUGACUUAUAUUAAUCAAAUAACAAAUAUAUUAUUCAUUAUAUUAUUCUCAUAAUAUAUUAAUAAUAUUUACUCUCUCUUAAUAAAUCAUCCUAUCAAGUUGCUAUGGUGAAGGCAACCCAAAAGGACCAUGCACAACCGGGUCAAACACUUGACUAAUAUAGUUGCAGCCUUAGACACUAUUCCAACAAUAAUCACAUUCUAGCAUGUAGCACUUCUAGAUACAAGCUUCUUACCUUAACUGCGAUUACGUUGUUUCUAUUGGCUGCUUCGAUUAUCUUAUACUUCAAUCUUUUGGUUUAAGUCGGAUGCUACAUAGAACUUGGUUCUCUAAACCAUGAACAAUACUUGUCCUAACCGGAAUCGAUUUGAUAUGACUACUAGGGUCGGAAUAAAAAUCAUCUUCUUAGUUAUUACCGAAACGAUGGUAACGCCAGACAUGAAUAAAAUGGAAUCAAUUACUAGAGCCUUGGUAACCUUGUGACUUUCCCUGAUCCAAGUGUGACUCAUGUGCUUCUGGUAGUAUAGGCCUCUACAACCUUUCACACCUGCUCAUACUCGUCCCAAGUAUUGUCUCAUAGUUCUCCAAGUCACCACACAAGAAAAAUCAUAUAGCAACUUAAUACAUCAUAUAACAUAAUCAAGGUUUAUAUUAUUUCAUGAAAUGAUUACAUAGAUAUUCAAGUUCACACUACACUAGGCCUCUUAAAUUAGGCUACACCACAUGAUACCAUCUAUAUGGCUACUUUAUAUCUCGCUCUUAGGAUAUAUAGAUCCUUACCCCUGAUCCCUCGCAUCACCACCUGCUUCAUCAAGGAUCAUUUAGGAAUCAAGGGCUCACCUAAUCCAUGCCGAUGAUGACUUUGUUCCCACGCAACAGAAUGGGAACCAAGUCCACAAGGUAACGCUCAUAAUAUAACCUUAAAACGCAAUAUCUGAAAACCUCCGAUGCACGUACAGUUCAGUCCUCAGCAAUCUCGACCUUCAGAGGACAAUCGAACGUCCUCGAAGAUUUAGUAAACCUCUUGCUAAGUGCAAGGCAGACAAAUGAUUGGGUAGCCCCGGAAUCGAAUAACACCUGAACUGGGAUACCGUUAACAUGGAAUGAUCCUAAACAACACAUAAACAUAGCACAUAAAUAUCGUAAACAUCAUAUACAAGAGUUAGGGAGAAGAAAACAUAUCGGUCACUACAUCCGGUGUGGCACGCGCCUCCUCGGUGGUCAGCUGGAAGGCUCGGCUCCUCACCACUAGAGCAUUUGUCUUGCCCUGUCGGCCAUCCGUGAUCCACAGGGUCGCUGGAGCUAGCGCCGCCACUGGCGCUCCUAAUGUCAACUUCGAAAAAUUGACCUUUUUCUGGCCCUUCUGAUUACAAUGGAAGCAAAUCAUGUCUGACGUUUGAAGGGUGGGGGUAAGGGCAAUACAAUCCCUACCAAAAUGCCCAAGAUUGCCGCACUUAUUGUUGGAUUAGUGUCUAAGUCGAUAACUAUAUUUGGUUUGUACUUGACCCGACUCGGCAUGGUCCAUUUGGGUUGCAUGACAUUAUGCAUUUAGAUAGACUAAAAUGAGAGAAAUAACACUUAAGGUUUAUUAGUAUAUUAUAAGUUCUAAUACAUUAAUAAGAUUAUUUAAUUAGUAUUGAUCAAGAAUUAAUCUAGAAUUAAUUAAGUGAUCAAAAAAAGACUAAUUAAAUAUAUGGGAUGAUUGUGUAAAUCAUCCAUACUUUUAUAGUGGGCUAAGACUCCAUGGAUUAUCAAGUUGGGCUAAAACCCAUAGGAUGAUCCAUGGAUGCUCCAUGGUGCAUUUGAACCCAUGGAUCCAAGGCAAUGGAAAGCCAUGACAAUUAGGGUUUACCCUAAUUGUGACACUAUAUAAAGAUCAUAUUCUUGGGAAAAAUCGACCACUAUGUAUGAUAGAAAGGGCUAGCCGACAGUGGUAUCAGAGCCUAGGCUUGUUUUGAAUUAUACUUGAUGCAAAGUGCUGAAAAAUGCUGAAAACAAUCGAUUUUUGGGCUUUCUGGGCAAUGGACUCGCCUAGUCCAUGAAGAAAACCAUAAGGUGAUUCCAGCAAGCGCGGGUUUAUUCUAAUGCUCAAAACUAGUUCAUAAGCACUCAUGAACAUUGUAGCAAUCCUUUGCUAUGUCUAACACCAUUUAGGCAUUCUACACAUCAAUUCAUGACAAUCUUCGUUCAUAUCUACUCCCAACAUAUGAACGANCGAAAGUUAUAUGAAAUUAUUGUUUUUAAUCCAAAUUAAUCUAAGAGUUGAUUCUAAAAAUGUGUUUUUGUAACUUGUCCUCAAGUUAUAUGAAAAGUCACAUUUAAGUUUCAUAAAACUCAUAAAAGUUGGCAAUGGUUUCAAAAGAUGAAGAGUCUUGUCCUUAAGUUAUGGAGGACCAA